rnacentral:rRNA from 1 species
UACGGAGGGUGCGAGCGUUGUCCGGAAUCACUGGGCGUAAAGGGCGCGUAGGCGGCCUGAUAAGUAGGGGGUGAAAUCCUGCGGCUUAACCGCAGGGCUGCCUUCUAAACUGUCAGGCUGGAGCACAGUAGAGGCAGGUGGAAUUCCCGGUGUAGCGGUGAAAUGCGUAGAUAUCAGGAGGAACACCGGUGGCGAAGGCGCCCACCUGGCCUGCUACUGACGCUGAAGCUCGAAAGCUAGGGGAGCAAACGGG